rnacentral:rRNA from 1 species
GAUGAACGCUGGCGGCGUGCUUAACACAUGCAAGUCGAACGAUGAAGCCCAGCUUGCUGGGUGGAUUAGUGGCGAACGGGUGAGUAACACGUGAGUAACCUGCCCUUAACUCUGGGAUAAGCCUGGGAAACUGGGUCUAAUACCGGAUAGGAGCGUCCACCGCAUGGUGGGUGUUGGAAAGAUUUAUCGGUUUUGGAUGGACUCGCGGCCUAUCAGCUUGUUGGUGAGGUAAUGGCUCACCAAGGCGACGACGGGUAGCCGGCCUGAGAGGGGGACCGGCCACACUGGGACUGAGACACGGCCCAGACGCCUACGGGAGGCAGCAGUGGGGAAUAUUGCACAAUGGGCGCAAGCCUGAUGCAGCGACGCCGCGUGAGGGAUGACGGCCUUCGGGUUGUAAACCGCUUUCAGUAGGGAAGAAGCGAAAGUGACGGUACCUGCAGAAGAAGCACCGGCUAACUACGUG